CACGGCUAAUGGAAAUGCUGUUUGAAGAACCUUGAUAGAUAACCAUUUCACUGCAUAGUUAAGGUCAUGGGAUUCAGCACUCAUGUAGCCACCUAUGCAGCCUACCCGCCUCUUACAAACCUUUGCAGCCAAGGCUGCUGGCUAACCACCUGCUGGCUGACAUGCCAGACAUCUAUUGUUUUUAU